UACGGAGGUGGCUAGCGUUGUUCGGAAUUACUGGGCGUAAAGGGCGCGUAGGCGGCAUUGCAAGUCAGAUGUGAAAGCCCCGGGCUUAACUCGGGAACUGCAUCUGAAACUGCUUUGCUUGAGUCCUGGAGGGGGUAGUGGAAUUCCCAGUGUAGCGGUGAAAUGCGUAGAUAUUGGGAGGAACACCUGCGGCGAAGGCGGCUACCUGGACAGUGACUGACGCUGAGGCGCGAAAGCUAGGGGAGCGAACGGG
rnacentral:rRNA from 1 species